CUACGGGGGGCACCAGUGGGGAAUAUUGGACAAUGGGGGAAACCCUGAUCCAGCAAUGCCGCGUGUGUGAAGAAGGCCUGCGGGUUGUAAAGCACUUUCGGUUGGGAGGACUGCUUCUAGCACUAAUAUUGUUGGAAGUUGACGUUACCUUCAGAAGAAGCACCGGCUAACUCCGUGCCAGCAGCCGCGGUGAUACGGAGGGUGCAAGCGUUAAUCGGAAUUACUGGGCGUAGAGCGCGCGUAGGCGGCUAGAUCAGUCGGGUGUGAAAGCCCCGGGCUUACCCUGGGAACUGCACCCGAUACUGUCUAGCUCGAGUACAGGAGAGGAGAGUGGAAUUCCACAUGUAGCGGUGAAAUGCGUAGAUAUGUGGAGGAACACCAAUGGCGAAGGCAGCUCUCUGGCCUGAUACUGACGCUGAGGUGCGAAAGCGUGGGGAGCAAACAGGAUUAGAUACCCGCGUAGUC
rnacentral:rRNA from 1 species